rnacentral:rRNA from 1 species
UUUGAUCCGUAGAUUUCCGAAUGGGGCAACCCAAUGUAUAGAGAUAUACAUUACCUAUAUAGGAGCGAACGAGGGGAAUUGAAACAUCUUAGUACCCUCAGGAAAAGAAAUCAAUAGAGAUUGCGUCAGUAGCGGCGAGCGAAAGCGCAAGAGGGCAAACCCAGUGCUUGCACUGGGGGUUGUAGGACUGCAAUGUGCAAGAGGUAAGUUUAGCAGAACAUUCUGGAAAGUAUAACCAUAGAGGGUGAUAGUCCCGUAUGCGAAAAACAAACCUUAGCUAGCAGUAUCCUGAGUAGGGCGGGACACGAGGAAUCCUGUCUGAAUCUGGGUCGACCACGAUCCAACCCUAAAUACUAAUACCAGAUCGAUAGUGCACAAGUACCGUGAGGGAAAGGUGAAAAGAACUGAGGUGAUCAGAGUGAAAUAGAACCUGAAACCAUUUGCUUACAAUCAUUCAGAGCCCUAUGUAGGAAUACAGGGUGAUGGACUGCCUUUUGCAUAAUGAGCCUGCGAGUUGUGGUGUCUGGCAAGGUUAAGCAAACGCGAAGCCGUAGCGAAAGCGAGUCUGAAUAGGGCGCUUAGUCAGAUGCUGCAGACCCGAAACGAAGUGAUCUAUCCAUGAGCAAGUUGAAGCUAGUGUAAGAACUAGUGGAGGACUGAACCCAUAGGCGUUGAAAAGCCCCGGGAUGACUUGUGGAUAGGGGUGAAAGGCCAAUCAAACUUCGUGAUAGCUGGUUCUCUCCGAAAUAUAUUUAGGUAUAGCGUUGUGUCGUAAUAUAAGGGGGUAGAGCACUGAAUGGGCUAGGGCAUACACCAAUGUACCAAACCCUAUCAAACUCCGAAUACCUUAUAUGUAAUCACAGCAGUCAGGCGGCGAGUGAUAAAAUCCGUCGUCAAGAGGGAAACAACCCAGACUACCAGCUAAGGUCCCUAAAUCUUACUUAAGUGGAAAACGAUGUGAAGUUACUUAAACAACCAGGAGGUUGGCUUAGAAGCAGCCAUCCUUUAAAGAAAGCGUAAUAGCUCACUGGUCUAGUGAUUUUGCGCGGAAAAUAUAACGGGGCUAAAGUAAGUACCGAAGCUGUAGACUUAGUUUACUAAGUGGUAGGAGAGCGUUCUAUUUGCGUCGAAGGUAUACCGGUAAGGAGUGCUGGAGCGAAUAGAAGUGAGCAUGCAGGCAUGAGUAGCGAUAAUUAAUGUGAGAAUCAUUAACGCCGUAAACCCAAGGUUUCCUACGCGAUGCUCGUCAUCGUAGGGUUAGUCGGGUCCUAAGUCGAGUCCGAAAGGGGUAGACGAUGGCAAAUUGGUUAAUAUUCCAAUACCAACAUUAGUGUGCGAUGGAAGGACGCUUAGGGCUAAGGGGGCUAGCGGAUGGAAGUGCU